rnacentral:rRNA from 1 species
AGCGAACGCUGGCGGCAGGCCUAACACAUGCAAGUCGAACGGACCCUUCGGGGUUAGUGGCGGACGGGUGAGUAACACGUGGGAAUGUGCCCUAUGGUUCGGAACAACUCAGGGAAACUUGAGCUAAUACCGGAUAAGCCCUUCGGGGAAGGAUUAUCGCCAUUGGAGCGGCCCGCGUCUGAUUAGCUAGUUGGUGAGGUAAAGGACUCACCAAGGCGACGAUCAGUAGCUGGUCUGAGAGGAUGAUCAGCCACAUUGGGACUGAGACACGGCCCAAACUCCUACGGGAGGCAGCAGUGGGGAAUCUUGCGCAAUGGGCGAAAGCCUGACGCAGCCAUGCCGCGUGAAUGAUGAAGGUCUUAGGGUUGUAAAGCUCUUUCGACGGGGACGAUAAUGACGGUACCCGUAGAAGAAAGCCCCGGCUAACUUCGUGCCAGCAGCCGCAGUAAC